AAAGUCACCUCUUCGAUCUGCCGGGAGACAACAAAAAACGGCGGGCAGAGACGCCGGCGCAAAAGAAGAAGCGAGAAAAGUCUAUCCAGUUGCUCAAAGACUGUGCGGAGUCUUGCCACCAUCACGUGCCCAAGUUUGCGGACCACUUGAAGAAGCAGCGCGCCGAAGAGGAGAAGGAGCAAGCAAAAGCAUUGGAAGAGAAGGCGGCAGGAUAUACGAUGGAACUUUAGAUCAAUUGGGAGC
rnacentral:ribozyme from 14 species